rnacentral:lncRNA from 1 species
GAGCUUUGGAUACUUGUCACGGGCUUUGGAUGCUUUGCUUCGUGGAGUAGAAAUGAUUCCACUUGUCUUUGGAGUCUUGUGGAGAUGCUUCACAUGCUUUGGAGUCUUUUGAUAAUGCCAACCGUCUUUUGAGAAAGUUGUCGACCAUGCUUUGAAGGAAUCUUUUGCUUUUUUGACUUUUCUUUUUCUUUUGUCUUUUGUCUUUUCUUUUCUUUUCUUUUUCAUUUUUUCUUUUCUUUUUCUUUUUCUUUUCUUUUACUGGGCUUUAGUGUGGGCUUUUAGGCCCAACAAAAAUAACCUUGGGCUACCAUUUCUGGGUUUUAACUCAUGGGCUUUUAAAGGAGGAGAUAAUAUUUAUGAGAUUUUGAGUAUCCCAUAACAAUCGUCUCCCGCUGGAUCAUCCAAAUCGAAUGCAGCAGUACUAGCACUGGAAGAGGAUGAUGAUGAGGCUUUGGAUUUGCCUUUAGAAGAAGCUGUCUCAGACAACUGUUUUAUAAGUUGUAGGAAAUCUUCUUCGGUUUGGGCUGCAGCAAGCUUUGGAAUGAGAAAAGACUUCUGUGCCAAGAACGUUGUUUGUUCUUUAGGAGGAGGCAAGAAGCUAUGUUUGGUCAAGAAGUUUUGAACGGCUUUUAAGGACAGUUUGUCUUGGUGGUUGAAUUGAUUUGCCUUUAGAAGAAGUUGUCUCAGACAACUGUUUUAUAAGUUGUAGGAAAUCUUCUUCGGUUUGGGCUGCAGCAAGCUUUGGAAGGAGAAAAGACUUCUGUGCCAAGAACGUUGUUUGUUCUUUAGGAGGAGGCAAGAAGCUAUGUUUGGUCAAGAAGUUUUGAACGGCUUUUAGGGACAGUUUGUCUUGGUGGUUGAAUUUAUCCCACCAUUUUACUUUGAAUCGACGGAUAAGUGUAAUCUCACCAUCUGGAGCAGAUUGAAGUGAAAGUACCAUACACAUACCCAGGGUAAAAAGAAAUUUGAACAGAAAAGGAGAAGCGGGGGAAAACGCUUUUCCAUGGAAUUUGGUUUGUAAUUUGCUUUGAAGAGGUUGAACAGGGGUAAGACUUCGGGAAUAAGAGUCUCAGGGGCAUUACCGUAGUAAUUCCACCACUGUUUAAACCAGUAAGGGAUUUUGGAGGUUUGGAUAUUGGUGUCGAAGUAGAAUAGCCAGGAGUGGCUUCUACCUUCGUUUUGGAUAAGAAAGGUAUUGAACCAGGCUUGCUGGUAAUCCCAAUAGGAGAAAGAGGUGUUUAGAUUUGAAGGGUAGGUUCUUUUUAGAGAAGUAGGGAAGGAACGAAGAGAGUGUAAAUCCAUACCCCAAUUAGACGGGUGAAGGAUUCUUUGGAUUGUGCAUGUUGAAUAUGCAGGGUCUUUAUGGGCUUUGUCUUUUUUGAAAUGCUUGAAUUUGGCUGAACCAGUAACCUCAAGGAUUGACUAGUAAUAAGCCUGAGGCUUUGAAAUAUUCCAGGGUUUAAAAAACCAACCUGGAGGGAAAAUCUUUGAAACCAAUUUUGAGGGGCUUUCUGUGCAGAAUCCUUCCUCAAUGGUUAAAACAUUUUGAAAAAUAGGUUUUUUCAAAUACUCAUUUGAUUUAAAACGUUUUGAUUGCGUCAAAACAAUCUCCUGAGAGUUUGGCUUUGAAAAACUAUUUGAGUUUUGAGAUAGAUUUGGAGGGAAAAUCUCUAUCUCGGUAUUUUGAAAAGGGAUAGAUAGUAUACCCUUACCCUUUGUAGAGGAAGAGGACGACUUUGGAGUCGCUUCUGGCUUUGGAAUAAUUUGCUUUGUAGAUGGUUCAGACAGGGAUUGAACCAUUUGUCUUUUGUAUUCUUCCACCCUUUGAAUGAAUUUAGGGUCUUGCUGAGCAAGCCAUUCCUGAAUUUGUUUGGCUUGAUCGGCUUUGAAAGGAUCCAUUCGUUGUUGGACUGGAUCCGGUUGAUCAAUUUCUUCUUGGAUUAUCUCAGUCCAAGUCCUGAUAGGCUUUGAAGUUGAAGGGAGAACUUCCUUCACUGGGCUUUGAAAUUGGGCCGGCUUUGAACUAGCCGUAGAUUUUUCUUCUUUGGACUUCGAUUUUCUUGGCAUUUUGUAUCACUCCUGUUUUUGUAAGAACUCUCUGGUUAGAAAGUCAGGAAUAGAAUUUGAUUCUCCUCGAAUAAAUUCAAUCUCAAAAUCAAAAACAGAUAAGAUAGCUUGCCAACGGGCGAAAAUCUGUUUUGAAGCUAUAUUUUGGACAUUUUUUUGUAAAACUUCUUUUGCAAACUUGCAAUCAAUCCUUAAAAGAAAUUUUUGAUUUAAAAGAUCGCUUUAAAAUUUAGAAAUACAGAGAACUAUCGAAAGGAUUUCCUUUUUUAUAGUAGAAUAAUUCUUUUGGGUAUCAUUCCAGUUAGCAGAAGUAAACUGGACAAUACAUUCUUUGGAAUUUUGAACUUGCUUUAGAAUCCCACCGUAUCCUAACUCUGAUGCAUCCGUUUCUACAAUCUUAAAUGCAGAAGGAUCAGCUAGAUGCAGGCAAGGAAUUUCUAAAACUUGUUUUUUAAUGCUUUGGACUAUCUUUGUAUGCUGAUCGGACCAAGGAGGAGGGUUUUUCCUUAGCCUAUCAUGCAGGGGUUUUGCAAGACAGUUUAAAUUAGGAUAAAAAUCCAUGACAUAAUUUAAACUACCAAGAAAUCUUUGAAGCUGGGUUUUUUCCAAAAUUUUAUCUGGAAACUUUGAAGUGAAUGCAAGGGAUCUCUCAAUUGGAGUAAUUGUACCCCGAGAGAUGUAAUGGCUGAUGGUGAUGGUGAAGAUGGGGUAGAGGUUAUCUCUAUAUCUUCGUCAUCAUUCUUUGGAUUAGUGUAGACUGGUCUGGGGAUGUUGCUUUGGUAAUCAACAUUCUGGAGUGUUUUUGGAAUAUCAGAUGUUGAAAAUCUAGGUUGUGUUUGGGAUGGAAUUGGUUCUUUGUAAGGGGCAUAGAUAACAGAAGGAAAUAAUAAGCAGUGAAGAUUUAGAUCUAAGCUCGUGGCGUUGUAACCAGAUUCACGCUUUCAGCAGCCUGUGGGAGCUUUAAAUGCUCUUGCAGAAUCUGUUUUCCAGCCUAUAAACUUAUAGAUCUGAAAAUAAAUUUGAACAGAAAUAAUCAGCAAGUUUCUGAUGUGCAGGAUCCUCUUACGAGGCAAGCACAGAGCAUACGCUUGAUGAUGGGGAAAGAAGAAGAAGAUAGAUAAAGAAGAUAAACUUUGAAUUGCUUUAUUAAAAAUAACAGACUUUGAACAUGAACAUAUAAACAACUUUGAAAGCUUUAAACAAACAUACAACUUUGUAAAACUUUGAAACAGAAGAAAAUAUAGACUUACAAGAGGAGUUACAAGAUUUCUCUCUCUCUCUUACUCACUCUUUUCACUCUAAUAUCUUCUGUGAGAACGAGAUAACAGAAGAGCUCUUCUUUCUAAGUUCUUCUAAGUUCUAAGUUCUGAGGUAUGAAGAAGGAGGACUCCUCUAUAUAGAGGUCUUGGAGCUUUGGAUACUUGUCACGGGCUUUGGAUGCUUUGCUUCGUGGAGUAGAAAUGAUUCCACUUGUCUUUGGAGUCUUGUGGAGAUGCUUCACAUGCUUUGGAGUCUUUUGAUAAUGCCAACCGUCUUUUGAGAAAGUUGUCGGCCAUGCUUUGAAGGAAUCUUUUGCUUUUUUGACUUUUCUUUUUCUUUUGUCUUUUCUUUUCUUUUCUUUUUCUUUUUCUUUUCUUUUACUGGGCUUUAGUGUGGGCUUUUAGGCCCAAAAAAAAUAACCUUGGGCUACCAUUUCUGGGUUUUAACCCAUGGGCUUUUAAAGGAGGAGAUAAUAUUUAUGAGAUUUUGAGUAUCCCAUAACAAUCGUCUCCCGCUGGAUCAUCCAAAUCGAAUGCAGCAGUACUAGCACUGGAAGAGGAUGAUGAUGAGGCUUUGGAUUUGCCUUUAGAAGAAGCUGUCUCA